UCUUUUUUUUCCUCCCUCCUCUCUCUUGACUGCACCCCCCCCCCCCCUCUGGAUCGGCAUAAAUGAAUGAAACACAGGGGGACUAUCGAAAGACGCGGGGGAAACUUUCUGUCAGACCAACCUGCGGGACGACCCGGGAGUUUAUGUCGGACUUGAUAGGCGAAUCGAUAUGAGCUUUUUCCUCCGGAAGUUUAUCCGCGGCUCCUCAGAUGUGUAAGACGGCGGCUGCUGCCUCCUGCCCCCCUCGCGAAGGAGUCACGCUGUGAUUAACGGAUCAGGUUUUUGACUGCCAGGACAAAUGAAUACAAAUGAAUUUAGGGAUCCGAAGGAGAGAUUGCAGAACCUCUCAUCUCGACACAAAGAGAGCCCUAUUGCUCUGUACAGUUUUAUAUUGUACUUUUUACCUGGGACUUGCACAAGUACACUCUGAAGAUGUGGACAUCCUCCAAAAGCUGGGGCUUAAGGGAG